rnacentral:rRNA from 1 species
UACGUAGGGGGCAAGCGUUAUCCGGAUUUACUGGGUGUAAAGGGAGCGUAGACGGCGGGGCAAGUCUGGAGUGAAAGGCCGGGGCCCAACCCCGGGACCGCUCUGGAAACUGCCCGGCUGGAGUGCGGGAGAGGUAAGCGGAAUUCCUAGUGUAGCGGUGAAAUGCGUAGAGAUUAGGAAGAACACCAGUGGCGAAGGCGACUUACUGGACUGUAACUGACGCUGAGGCAUGAGAGCAUGGGGAGCAAACAGG